CACACCUUCGUGUAGGUAGUUGGA
rnacentral:siRNA from 1 species